rnacentral:rRNA from 1 species
UUUGGCCACACCACCUGGAGCAAGCCCGAUCUUGUCUCACCUCAGAAGCUAAGCAGGGCUGGGCCUGGUUAGUACUCGGAUAGGGGGAGAAAUAGCAGUGGAAAAAA